AUACGGAGGGUGCAAGCGUUAAUCGGAAUUACUGGGCGUAAAGCGUACGUAGGCGGCAAGUUAAGUUAGAUGUGAAAGCCCCGGGCUCAACCUGGGAACUGCAUUUAAAACUGGCUUGCUAGAGUUGAGUAGAGGGGAGUGGAAUUUCAGGUGUAGCGGUGAAAUGCGUAGAGAUCUGAAGGAACACCAGUGGCGAAGGCGACUCCCUGGACUCGAACUGACGCUGAGGUACGAAAGCGUGGGUAGCGAACAGGAUUAGAUACCCUAGUAGUCC
rnacentral:rRNA from 1 species